rnacentral:lncRNA from 1 species
AACUUAGGGUUUUCUUUCCUUUCUUGGCCUUCAAAACUUUGGGUGUUACAAAAUCUUUAUGCCUACAACUAGCAUACAUAUGAUAUAAACUACAUAAAAUACUAGUUAGAAGUUUACCUCUUUUUGUAGCUUGUAGAACUUGAUGAAUUUGGCCUUAAAAAGCUUAGCCCCAAUAGUGUGGAAGCCUCAAAUGAAGUCACAACACAUCAUGGACAAAGGUGGAACUUGAGAGAGAAUUCCAUGCACCCAAAACCACCCAUGAACUCCAAGAACAAGCAUGUAGGCGGUUUUUAGGUUAAGAGCAUGUAAUUAUAUGUUGGAUUUCAAGGGUCAUGGGUAUAACCCAAAUCCAUACCCAUGGGUUUAUGAUCCAUGGUUCAUGUUGUAACACCCCGUUCUUAAAGUAUUUAAUUAUGAGUCCCUGAGAUUUAAGAGGAAGGGUAAUUCUGGUUCUUUUUCGGGAAAUGGGUUUUAUCCAAGAAGGUUUCGGACUGGUGUAUGUUGAUAGAAGCAUAGGGCUUCUCGUCACCCUCGUGUGAAUGUAAAGUCUAUUGGGAGCGGGUUUAGAGUAGAGGAGUUGCGGCGUCUUGGAAAUGAUAUUGUUUAUAGCUCUUUGUGGAAAAAGUGGAAAAGGUCCCAUGCAUGCAUGGCACGCAUGCUUGAAGUUGGCUGGGUACGCCCAGCAUAAGCUGGACGUACGCCCAAUGUAAAGGGAGGAAAGAAAUGCGGGGUGGCAAGGUGAGUACGCCCAACGUACUCUCAGAAAACCCAAACCCUAAAAUUAGGGUCAGCCACUAUAUAAGGAACAUGUUGGUUCAUACCCUAGCCUCCUUAAGCCCAUCCUUAACCUCAAAAACGCUAGAAACCCGUAUUCCCUCCAUUGUUGGGUGUGUUUGGCCUUGGAAAGCUCAUUUUGGCAAAAGAAAAGCUAGAAGAAGAAAGGAGAAGUUGUCAAAGAAGGGAAGGAACGAUUGGAGCUUGUAGAUAUGAAGAGAUAUCAUCCUUAGAAGCUUAUUUGAGGUAUAAAGCUUCUUGCUUGCCAUUUAUUUUGCAUAGAUCUAAGUGUUGUGAAGUUUUAGCAUCUUUCUUGUCCCAAAGUUCUCAUCUUGAUUCAUGCUUUGUGUGGGCCGAGAUUAUCUGUCCUUUCAGACCUUUGGAGAGGUCUUGAGUGAGAAAAAUGAGGUCCCAAGGGUUGUAGUUGUUCCAUGUGUGAGAUAUAUAGGUCUUAAUGGAUUAAGACCUUAGAUUAAGAGCUUUUGGACGUCCCAAGUGAUAAAGUUUGAGACUUUAUGAAUCUUAGGCGUAUUUAGCCUAGGGAUCUGAAGUUUGGGCUUAAGAGCUUAAGCCAUUAAGAGGUUAUAAGGACUUUAUGAGUAGCGAAGUUACGCCCCGCGUAACAUGGUUGUAUGCACCGCGUAGCGGGUUAGGGCCCCGAUCCUCAGCUGCGUUUCAGUGUGUACGCCCCGCGUACCAAGGAGGGUACGCCCAGCGUACUCCCCCUGAUUGGACCUUAAUAUUGGGCCUUAGAGUUUGGGCCGUUUGUGGGUAGUUGGUUUAUGGGCCAAGUCUGGAAAUUAUGGAUAGAGUGUUUUGGGCCCAAUUAUUGUUAUGGACCUUGGAUCUAGGCCCAUUUGGUGAGGUGGGCCCAAUUUGGUAAAUUGGGCCAAUAUUGGACUUUGUAUAAGAUUUGGACUUUGGCCUUGGCCCGAUAAGUGGAUGUAUGCUUGGCCUAAUGUUUAUUUUGUUGAUGGCUAGUUCGGGAUUUGCGGUGAGUUGGUGAUUCGAGAACCUGCUCUUCAGUUCAGAGUUUCGGCAGUGCGAGGUGAGUUAUCCUCACUAUAUCGACAGGGUCUAAGGCACCAAGGCCGGCCCUUUAUCGGAUUGAGAUCCGGGUAUUUGUUGUUAUGUUAUUGCUUUGAUAUGUUUGCAUCCUGGUAGCUAGGAUGGUAUAUGUUAGAGACCUGGUUAAGGUCGGUUCCCUGAUAUGUAGGGUGAUGCUAUGCUAGUGACCGGUUAGGUCGGUAUCCUGGUUAGGAUGAUGAUAUGUUAUGUGAUCUGUUUGAUCGGCUUGUUGACUGUGAAUUCUUAUAUGAUUGUAUGUUUAUGUGCACAUGGUUGUUUGGACUGGAGUUGGUAGGGGUGAGCAAACCCGAACCAAGAAACCGGGAAACCGAUCAAAACCAACGAAACUGAAACCGAAAAAACCGAAACCGAAGCAAAACCGACGGUUAGGGUUUCAAAUUUUUAAAAACCGAAAAAUCGGGUUCGGUUUCGGUUUUUUCCUAGAAACCGACCCACCUAACCCGAGAAACCGACUCAAUGGUUGAGUGCCAUGUUUUUUUAUAUGUAAGCAUAAGAAUAUAUAUAUCUGAGGUGCGAAUUAGAUAUACAAACACACUCUUGGCCUAGCGGUUGAGCGCCUUCCCCUUGAACAUUAUGUCAAGGGUUCGAUUCUUGCUUCUUGCCAAAGUUUUCCCUAAGUUUUCUAUUUUAAUUUGCAAUUUGAUCUAUCCCACAUUGAUGGGUGUAUGAAAUUUGCGCAUGUUUCACCCUUAAUAUAAGGAAUCGUUAACCUCUAUCAAGCCUCAAAUCAGUUUAAUUGGGAUUAUCAUUGGGUUCGGGUUUAAACCCGGAACCGACCCAUGAACAAACUGAAACCGACAAACCGAACCGACGGUUUGGGUUCAUGGUUUGGUUUUUAUUUUUUUGAAAACCCAUUUUAUUGGGUUGGGUUCGGUUUAGGUCAAAACCGACCCAUGCUCACCCCUAGGAGUUGGGUUGAGGCGGGUCUUGCUUUGUGCUGUAGGCCAAGAUACCCAGGGCGGACCGGUUGUCCCGAAGGCCCAGCGAGCGGUCCGGAUAGGCUGUAGGCCCCAAGAGGGCGGACCAGACGUGCCGAGGCUCGGAGAGUGGACCAGGCCGACUGAAGGCCCGGUGCGGGCGGACCAGUCAUACUGUAGACUCAGAGAGUGGACCAGGUGGGUUGUAGGCCCGAUGCGGGCGGAUCAAUCACACUGUAGACUCGAUUUAUAUGGCUAGACUCGGAAGGUGGACCAGGUGGACUGUUGGCCGGUGCAGCGGACCAGUCUCACAGUAGACCCGAAGUGCAUGGAUGUUCUGUGUUCUGUUAUGUUAUGUAUGCUAUGUAUGAUAUGGGCCGGAAGGCAUUAUGAUUUGGACGGAAGGUCAUAGCCUGGAAGGGCGUAUGUGUGGUUGGUAUUUUAGGGAUAUCUCACUAAGCUUUCGGGCUUACAGUUGUGGUUUAAUGUUUUUUUCAGGUUUUUCAGGAGACCGUGGCAAGGCGAAGGCGUGAUCGUACCGCUCCUCAUAUUUAUGUUGUGAUGUGAUUCUGGGAAUACUCUAAAUGAAUUGUAUUGAAAACCUUUUUUUAAUAAUUUAAUGAAAUCGGGUUGUUUUUGAAAAGUUUAAAUUGGUUGAAAUUUUUCGGUCGUUACAAGUUGGUAUCAGAGCCUUGGUUUGAGUGAAUUGGAGGAACACUCGUGUGACUCCAGUCUCAAAUCGAGGAGAGUUUUCAAAAGAGAAUUUAAAAUGGUUUUCAAAAUGAGUAAAGGAGGACGCGGAGGUACGAUCAGCCGGAGCCAGUAAGUAACCCCAAAAUACCAUACAUGAUAUUUGUUUUUGAGCUUUGAUAGAACAGCAUGCUAGUGCUAGGCUAGGGAUCUUCAGGAUUUCAUGAUAAUGUUGCCUGAUUUAUGAUGCCUGUUAGCCUAGGGUUUCCUUGUGGGAGAUUUCCAGUGUUCCUCUAGUAGUGAGGGUUGAGCGUUUGUUAUGCAUGUUUUCACUAGGGUGUUGUGGUAGUACUUCAUACAAAUAUGGGUAGGUGUGGAAGGUAGUAUGGGCCCGUACUACUGAAAGCACAGGACCCAUACGCGUAUCAGGGAAACCAUGACCUCUAGGGUUGGGUUGAGAGAGUUGGUUCCCGGGAUAGUGGGAAGUGUCUGAGAUUUUGUGUGGUGUUUUUCAGUAUGGAGAUUCCGAGGCAUGCUGGGAGUGGAUCCGGGUCAGGAUCGGGAGCAGGAGAGGGAGUUCCGGGCGGGUCAGUACCGCCCGAGGUUAUUGGUCAGAUGAGCACGUGCGAGUUGGAUGCGAGGAUUCGUGAGAUCCUGCGUGAUGAGAUUGCUGCGUUGUUCCGGGCUGAGUUGCCGGAACUGUUUGGGUCGAUCAAGACCGCCAUGGUUGAGUAUUUUGAUGAGCGCUAUGCGGCUCUCACAGAGACGGCUGCCGCGGCGGCUACAACGGCUGUAGCAGCGGCAGGGGGAGGAGCUGGUCGGGGUUUUCAGUAUCGGGACUUCGAUAAUACGAAGCCUCCCACCUUUGAUGGAGUUCAGGACCCGAUUGUUGCUAUGAGAUGGUUAUCGGACGUGGAGGGGUGUUUCUUCACGUGUUCAUGCCCUGCUGAUCAGAGGGUGAGGUGUGCUCUGAACCUGUUGAGGCUCGGGGCGAAGGAUUGGUGGAGAUUGACCACGGGGUCAUAUUCAGAUGCGCAGAGGGCUGCGGUUUCAUGGGAUCAGUUCAGAGAGAUGUUCAGCACUCGUUAUGUUCCGCGGGUUGAGAGGGAGAGAUUGGCUCAGGAGUUCCUGGAGCUGAAGCAGGGUUCGGAGUCGGUGACUGAGAUCACCAGGAUGUUCACAGAGAGGGGGAUGUUCUGCCCUGAGUUCGCUUCGGAGCAGGCUCAGAUGUCUCGAUAUCUGAGCAUGCUCAAGAGGGAUAUCAGACAGUUUGUGUCUACGCAGAGGUGCGAGACUUUGUUGGAGUUGCAGGAGGCCGCCAGGCGGCGUGAGUUAGAGAUUGAGUUGCAGUUGCGUGAGCUGAGGCAGGCUCCGUUGCAGUCGCAGCCGACGCCGAAACGGUCCAAGACCUUUGAUUCUAGGGUGGGAGAUCUAAGUAGCCACACUUGUGGGAAGUGUGGGAGGAGUUACACCGGAGUUUGUAGGUCCGGUGGUGCAUGUCGCAAGUGCGGAAAGGAGGGGCACUAUGCGAGGGAUUGUCGGCAGUCAGCGCCGGUUCGGGAUUUGAGGAUUUUUUAUCAUUGUCAUCAGGUUGGGAACUUGAGGGUCAACUGUCCACAGAUUGUUGUAGGACCGGUGCAGGCUCCAGCACCGGCCACUUUGAGGAUCACGGGUGGAGGUCAGGGUGGAGCGGAGCCCCCAAGGGCUCAGGGUCGUGCUUUUCAGCUUACAGCAGAGGAGGUUAGAGCAGUGUCGGAUGCAGCCGCGGGUAUGUUUCUUUCUUGAUGUGUUGUUUAUCUUGUGAUUAUUGUGGAGUAUUGUUUAUCUGGUAGUCUUAUUGUGUGGUUUUUGGUGUGGUAUUCGUUGUUCUUUGAGAGUUUUGGUAUGGUUAUGGGUUAGUAUUGGGAAUUUCGUUGGUUAUCAUUCAUGGGGGUUAUUAGUGGAAAUCUGGCGUCUGAUUUGAGGGAUGGUUAGCAUCCGCAUUCUGAGGAGUAGUUAGUUGCAGAUUGAGUUUCUUUCGAGCUCGGGUUAAUCAGUGUUGAUAUGUGAUUUUGUGAAGGUUCAUAGUGCUAGUGGGAAUCAGUCCGCGUGUAAGUGUUGGUUUUGUGCAGGGUUGUUUAGGGAGGUCGGUGAUAGCGACCGGUGGUUGAUAGUCAGUGCCCUAAGUGGGGGAGAAUUGGAAAAUUCUCCAGAAGAUCGAUGAGCAUGUGAGGUUGUUUAGCUGUUUGGGAUUCAGCAGUGUUCUGUCAGCCAAGAGCGUAGGCUGAUAUGAGUAAGUGUCAGCCAUGCGGGGCGGGAUAGAGACUAAGAGUAAUUGAUUGUGGAGGGCCUGGGGAAGGCUGGGAUCGAGUUUGUAUGAUGGGGAAAGAGUUCGGAACCCCUAGAGAGCUAGAACAGUAUGCAUGGGAGGAUUUCCCAGAGAGAUAACUCGGAGUGAUGAAUGCUAGUUGAGCGGUCCGAAUAGACUGAAGGCCGGUAGGCGUACCAGUCAGGCCGAAGGCUCGGAGGAUGGUCCAGUCAGACUGAAGGCCCUGGAGGGCGGUCCAGAUUGGCUGAAGGUUCUGAGAGUGGUCCAGAUUGGCUGAAGGCCUGUUAAGGCGGUCCAGUCACGCUGAAGACUCUGCAGGUAUUGUUAGACCAGUUUGAGGGAAAGGAUUGAAUAUGUCGUGAUGUGUUAACAUUGGAAGGUCUGGCCCCGGAUAUUGAUCUUGAUUGGUGGAGAUAGUGCAUGGACUCGAGAGUCCUUGCGAGCAGAUUCAGAGCAUGUGUGUUGCAUGUAUAGCGGUUAUGCUAUAAGGGAGUGUAAAUUCACGGAAGUGAAAGUAGCAGCACAGAAUUAUGAUUGGAGUAGUCCAAUUAUGGUCAUUGAGCAGCAUGAUUGCGGCAGUGGUAUGGGAAAACAUACGGGUUGGAUGGUUGCUGAGGCUCAGCAGGAAUGCAGGGAUGGAAUCUCGGAUUUCCAGUUAGACUUUGUUUUAUGUGAUGGAAAUUCAUCCGAAAGGAUGUUUGGAAGUGUCAUCAAUGUAUCGAGUUUUUCCUAACCCGAGGACACCAGGGACAGUUCAGUGUGGUUAUGAGAUUGCGGUGGAGAACUCGUGGGAGUUGCUCUGAGGCUGAAGCAUGUGUCAUCCUGUCAGCAAGAAAGGUAAAGCUAGGUUUCGGAUCUCGAUGGUCGAGUCUUAAGGAACCUGGUCCGGUGAAUGCCAGGUGGUGCAUUGCGGGGGUAGUCCUAGAGUAGAGUUGUCGCAGGCUUCGAGGGUGAAGCCUAAUUUAAGUGGGGGAGAAUUGUAACACCCCGUUCUUAAAGUAUUUAAUUAUGAGUCCCUGAGAUUUAAGAGGAAGGGUAAUUCUGGUUCUUUUUCGAGAAAUGGGUUUUAUCCAAGAAGGUUUCGGACUGGUGUAUGUUGAUAGAAGCAUAGGGCUUCUCGUCACCCUCGUGUGAAUGUAAAGUCUAUUGGGAGCGGGUUUAGAGUAGAGGAGUUGCGGCGUCUUGGAA